rnacentral:tRNA from 1 species
UAAAAGAUAAGCUAAUUAAGCUAAUGGGUUCAUACCCCAUCAAUGAAAGUAAGAUCUCUCUCUUUUAA